CCUACGGGAGGCAGCCGUGGGGAAUAUUGGACAAUGGGCGCAAGCCUGAUCCAGCCAUACCGCGUGGGUGAAGAAGGCCUUCGGGUUGUAAAGCCCUUUUGUUGGGAAAGAAAUCCUGCCGGCUAAUACCUAGCGGGGAUGACGGUACCCAAAGAAUAAGCACCGGCUAGCUUCGUGCCAGCAGCCGCGGUAAUACGAAGGGUGCAAGCGUUACUCGGAAUUACUGGGCGUAAAGCGUGCGUAGGUGGUUGUUUAAGUCUACUGUGAAAGCCCUGAGCUCAACCUGGGAAUUGCAGUGGAUACUGGGUCACUAGAGUGUGGUAGAGGGUGGCGGAAUUCCCGGUGUAGCAGUGAAAUGCGUAGAGAUCGGGAGGAACAUCCGCGGCGAAGGCGGCCACCUGGGCCAACACUGACACUGAGGCACGAAAGCGUGGGGAGCAAACAGGAUUAGAUACCCUGGUAGUCCACGCCCUAAACGAUGCGAACUGGAUGUUGGGUUCAACUUGGAACCCAGUAUCGAAGCUAACGCGUUAAGUUCGCCGCCUGGGGAGUACGGUCGCAAGACUGAAACUCAAAGGAAUUGACGG
rnacentral:rRNA from 1 species